ACGGAAGGCAGCAGUGGGGAAUAUUGGGCAAUGGGCGAAAGCCUGACCCAGCAACGCCGCGUGAAGGAAGAAGGCCUUCGGGUUGUAAACUUCUUUUAUCAGGGACGAAUAAAAUGACGGUACCCAAAGAAUAAGUCACGGCUAACUACGUGCCCGCAGCCGCGGUAAUACGUAGGUGACAAGCGUUAUCCGGAUUUACUGGGCGUAAAGGGCGUGUAGGCGGUCUUGCAAGUCAGAAGUGAAAUUCCUGAGCUCAACUCGGGCGCUGCUUCUGAAACUGCAGGACUUGAGUGCUGGAGGGGAUAGCGGAAUUCCUAGUGGAGCGGUAAAAUGCGCAGAUAUUAGGAAGAACACCGGUGGCGAAGGCGGCUAUCUGGACAGUAACUGACGCUGAGGCGCGAAAGCGUGGGGAGCAAACAGGAUUAGAUACCCUGGUA
rnacentral:rRNA from 1 species